rnacentral:lncRNA from 1 species
GCCUAUAACAGUUUGACUAAAAGGAAAAAUAUAAAUAGGUACAUUCAAGAACAAAGGAACCACAGUGUUCCAAGUUCAAAAAAAAACUUUGAACAGAUGGCAACGAGUAUACAUACCAAAACAAAAAAUGAACGACAACUGCAAACAUAACUCGUUGCAUCCAUCAAAAGUGCUUGUCAGGUAAUAUCAUCUCAAGCUUCACACUAAUCUAAGGGAGAAAAGUAUCCAAGGUACAUGAACCACACAAAACCAACCCUAGUUGGAAUGUAAAAUUAUCCCAUCUAGGACUGCAUGGCGUCACCCACAUCUGUUUCCCCUUGCACUUCACUAAUCAUGUACUGGAACUGAACUAAUCCAUCUGCUAGGAAAUGAGAAAUAGGAUUCAGUAAUGUAUGUCAAAUAACCAUGUUGUACUAUUCAACACGAAAAUAUAGCAUUGAUGUACAAUUCAAACUAACAAUCUCAAUCGUAUGGGGGUAACCGUUGGGCGCCGGUUUAUGUAUGUUAAUUUCCGCUAAACCUUUUGUUACCGAGGGAUCUGUUGAAUGGAAUGAAAUCGGGAGCUUUGGUCAUCAAUUCAAAACAAAAAAAACAUGUUGUCAAAAGAAAGUAAAAGACAAAAAGGACAUAAACGAAGCAUGGCAUGAGAGGGAGGGGGCUACCGCCGAGUGGGAAUGGGCCUUCAUGAGGAGGGGCGGAGGGCAGACUCUUCGUGUGAGAGUUUGAUUUAGGGGAAGAGCCGGCUACGCUCGGUAAGAAAAAACAAUCCAACCGGUAUGACUUACUGAGUGGCACUGCAAUGGAUGCUGGGUUCCUGGUGCUGCAAAAAUUACAGUACCCAAAGUCGUUGUGCUAGUACGUGUAUGGAGAAGUUCAGAGAAGCUCAUAAGCAUUUUCAGCUCAUGAUUAGCAUCUCACAAAGCCAUGAAACUAUAAAGCUCAGAGCAAUUUGUUAAAAUUUAUGUGUCGAGAAUACUACAUGUGCUAUGGGCAACUUAAAGCAAACAUAAUUCGAGUAAUCAACUAACUUGUGAUCAUCAGGUACCACCUCCCUCGUCCUACCCGCACAAAAUAUUGCAUAAGCAUCAGCUGCAUACCUGCAAUAAGUAACUUCUAGUUACUAAUCAGACUGAAAAAGAAAUAGCAUUGUACAAAUAC